UUUAUCUUAAGACCCAAAAGUAAAAUUGUCCAACCAAGAACCAUGCCAAUAACAUCAAGGAGCUCCUUUACCAGCCACGCCUAAAGGGAGGUCUGUCCUGGACUUAAAACAAGCCAGUAUCUUUCUUCAUACAGAAGCCAGUUUGGCUUUCUGACACCUGCAAUUAAAUGAGUCCUAACUAACAGGAACAAGCCCUCCUUUCUUCAGCAACCAGCCAACCAGCUCCAAACUCUGAAUCUCAUUCUUGACAGUGGCAAACCCACCGCAGUAGCUGGCAUAGCAGUGUGACAAGCCGUCUGGAGUUUCCCACUAGAACUGCGAAUCACAGCCAGAGAGUGGCGGUGCCUGGAGAAGAACCACCAAGGUCCGGGAGCCGGCUGAGAGGCUGAAGGCCUGGCACACACCACGCGAAAACCAUCACGGCAACGAUGCCACUUUGUUUCAAAAUCAUAAAGAUAUUUUUCAAAUGCAAUUUUGGCCAUUCCAGUAAAUCUUUACAUGUUUUCAUCUGUA